GACGAACGCUUGCGACGUGCCUGAGAAAUGCAAGUCGAGCGGUGUAGUUUGCUUCGGUAGACUACAUAGCGGCGAACGGUCGAGUAACACGUAACCGACCUGCCUUUGGGUCUGGGAUAGCCCUCCGAAAGGGGGAGUAAUACCGGAUGGUUUCACGAGAGUGCAUGCUUUUGUGAAUAAAGCUUUAUGUGCCCAUAGAGGGGGUUGCGGCCUAUCAGCUGGUUGGUGAGGUAACGGCUCACCAAGGCGACGACGGGUAGCUGGUCUGAGAGGAUGGUCAGCCGGAUUGGGACUGAGACACGGCCCAAACUCCGUACGGGGGCAGCAAUCAGGAAUCUUGCGCAAGUGGGGGAACCCUGACGCAGCGACGCCGCGUGUGGGAU
rnacentral:rRNA from 1 species